UUUACCGUUGGGGACCGUCGUUGAUCCAAGAACAAAUGGACAUCCUCGCUGAUGAAUCCAACCCCAAAAUCCUUGUUAACACCUUCGAUGCUUUGGAACAAGAAGCAUUAAACGCCAUUGAAAAUUUCAACAUGAUCGGCAUCGGACCUUUAAUCCCAUCUUCUUUCUUGAACUCAAGUGACUCCUUGGAUAAUUCCUUGAGAACCGAUCUUUUUCAACCCGAUUCAAAAGAUUACCUCCAAUGGUUAGACUCCAAACCAAAAUCGGCUGUCGUUUACGUUUCCUUCGGGAGCAUUACGGUGUUAACGAAGCAACAAGUGGAGGAAAUCGCUCGAGCUUUAAUAUCCAGCCGGCGACCUUUUUUAUGGGUGGUGAGGAACCGGAAAGAUGGAGGCGAAGAAGAGAAAGAAGAAGAUAAACUGACUUGCAGGGAAGAAUUGGAACAGGUUGGGAUGGUGGUUCCAUGGUGUUCGCAAGUGGAAGUAUUGUCUCAUCCGUCGUUGGGUUGCUUCGUGACGCAUUGUGGGUGGAACUCGACGUUGGAGAGCAUGGUGGCCGGUGUACCGGUGGUGGCUUUCCCUCAAUGGACGGAUCAAGGGACUAAUGCGAAGCUGAUUGAAGAUGUGUGGGGGAAUGGAGUGAGAGUGAGUGCUAAUGAAGAAGGGAUGCUGGAACGUGAUGAGAUCGUUAGGUGCUUGGAUUUGGUGAUGGGGGAUGAUGAGAAAGGGAUGGAAGUGAAGAAAAAUGUAGAGAAAUGGAAAGGGUUAGCCAGGGAAGCCUCCAUGGAAGGCGGCUCCAUGGAUAUGAAGCUUAAAGCUUUUGUGGAUGAUGUUGCUCAAGGUGGUUGUAACUAAAUUUAUCAUUUUCAAAUAAAUUUACUGUUAUAAUAGCAGCUAUAAAGAUUGUAACUUCUUUAAUUUCUAAGUUUAUUUCUUUUUCCUUUCCAUCAUCUUUUAAAAAAUAUAUGUAAGAUUGAAAUGCCCAAACAAAAACUCCUGUUUUAAGGACCCAAGAAGAGCUGGUCUGUUUAGGCUGUGUUAUUUAUUACUAAGAUGAGUUUUUGCAUGUAAAAGUAUUUUUUUCUCAAAAAUAAUAAAGAUUAGACAUUAUUCCAGAAAAAUUUUUAACUUAAAAAAAGUACCUUUUGGCUGAUGGAUAAAUUAAAAAUUUUAACUUUUCUACCUGCUUUUAGCUUCUAUUUAUAUUUUUAACCUUUUUUUUCUCCCAAAACUUUUAGUAUUUAUAUUUGAUAUACAAAUAUUAUUCCUUUUUAAAUCUUUAAUCUAAAUAUAUGUAAUAUUUUAAUUUGUUAGGUUUAUAUUUUCUAUGUUAUCUUAAUAUCUAAUAAGAGUUAUAUAUUAAAAUACAUUUUAAAAUAAAAUAAUACAAAUGUGUUAAAAGCAUUAAUUAAAAAUAAAAAAUAAUUUUUAAAAUAAUACAAUUGUGUCAAUAUCUAAUUACAAAUAUUUAAUUAUUAUAUUUAAAUAUUUAAAUAUAGUUUAUAUAUUCUAAUUAAAUUUAAUAAAUAAUUAAUAUUAAUUACUUAGAAAAAUUUAAAAUUAAUAUUAUAUAUUAAAAUAUUAACAAUAAGUUAUAAUAAUUUAUUUUUAUAAUUUUGCUAAAAUAUCAUAAUAUUAACUAAUUUGAACAUUAUUUAAAUACAUAUUUGUUACUUUAUAAUAUCAUGUCUAAAAUGGACAUUUUAUUUCUCAAAAGCACUUUUUGACAGCAAUAUCAAACACUCAAAUUUUAAAAAAGUAUUUUUCAAAAGUACUUUUCCACAACACUUUUCAAAAGCAAUGAAGAACUGGCCCUUAGUUUUUGAGCCCCAUCUAUCUAUCUCAAUCUCAAUCAAUGCUUUCCUUUCUUGCCUCAAGCACUCACUCGUUUCAUGUCCUAUCCUCGUCUUCCCUUUCUUAACUUUAUGAUCUCAAAAAAAAAAACCCAAAGUUUGAAUUUCGUCUAUGAACUUCCUAAGCAGAAUCAGGAUAUCUGAUUAAACAUGGAUGCUUCCAUUAUCAUAUGGAUUAAGGGUGCCAGUCGGUCUUAUUAUGCCCCUAAUCCAACUUUCACCAUUCGAUAUAUGAUUAUAACCUAUACAACAACAGUCAAAUGUGUUGUUGUCGUACCUCUGUCCCUUCAAAAUUAUCUUUAUUUGCUAUUCAUGUCUUCAUUUGAAUUGAUUUGUUUAUGGUUAUACAUUGCCGAAUUUGAUUUGUAUAUGGAUAUACAUUGCUGAAUUAAUUUAUAUAUGGUUAUACAUUACCAAAUUUGAUUUGUAUAUAUAUACAUUGACAAAUUUGAUUCGUAUAUGGAUAUAUAUCACCGAAUUGAUUUGAGCUUUGGAUUACUAGUUUUGUGCAUGAAUUGAUUUAAUUACGAAGUCGAAAGCUCCGAAUGAACCUUAGUAAAUGUAUUGGAUAUUGAUGUCAUGAUAUUAGGACUUUCGAGGUGUGAUUUCGCGUAAGACCAUGUCUGGGAUAUUGGCAUCGAAGUAAGAAAACGUGUAAGACCAUGUCUGGGACAGUGGAAUUGAUAUGUGUUAACAUAUAAGACCAUAUCCGAGAUAUGGUAUUGUACGAGUUUUAUAUGAUUUUCGUAUGAUCUUAACUAUUUCGAAUGUGAAUUUGAGUUGAAUGAUUCAGGUAUGUGUGAAGUUAUAUGUUCAUGCAAUAUUAAGGUAAGUUUAGCACUUAAUGUGAUAAUUUGCAAUUAUAUGAGUUAGUUAAAUGUUUAUGUGUUUGAGAUUUAUUUGAAUUCGACCUAGUUGAAUUGAAUUAUAAAUAUCAUUGAGAUGAUUGAGUAAGAGGUUAGUACGAGAUGAUACAGGUACGUACAGAACCUAUUCGAGUAUUUAAUAGAGAAAUAUAAUGAAAUGGUAUUUGAUCAUGUUUUAAGACAUUGAGAAAGGUUUGUUGUAAUUGUAUAUAUGGUGAUGUUAUGUACAAUUAGUUGAAUUGUAUGUAUUUGAUGUAUUGAAUUAUUCAUUUACGAACUUACUAAGCUAUGAAGCUUACUUCGUGUUAUUUUCUUAUGUUUUAUAGAGAAUCAAGGCUAGCUCGGAUUCAAAAGUCGUCGGGAACAUCAUCGCGCUAUCGAACAUCUAAGUUGGUACUUUUGAAUUGUAUAUAUAUGAUAUAUGAGAUGUACAGGCUAGUGUUAUUUUGGUAUGUUUUGAGUUAUGAUAUUAGCCAUGAGAUUUGGCUUUUAAAGGUUGGUGUGUAUUUGACCAUAUGAAUUGGUUGUUUAAGUGUUGAGAAAAUGCAUAUUUGAACCUAAGAUGAAUUUAUGGUUAUAGUAAGUUAAAUUGACAUACUUUUGAGUUAAUUUGGUACUAAAAUUGAAAUGAAAUGAACGAAGUUUAUUAGUUAACUUUUAUAUAGUAUUAUGGAUGUUGUUGAUCAAUUUGAUAAGUAAAUGUUUUAGGCAUGAUUUAAAUAUGUUUAAAUGUGAAAAUGUGUUGGUUUCCAUAUUGAUUGUAAAUUGGUUGCAGUUUAAAUUACAGGGAAUGUUAGAUAUUUAUAAAGAAGUUAUAUUGAGUUCGCAAAAAAAAAAAAUCUCCGAGUUUCCGAAUUAGUCCCGAGUCAUUCUUAACUCGUAUUAUGGACCUUGAGGGUUUAUCUAAGGGACUUUAAGAUUAUUUUAUAUUAUAUUUGAUAAUUAUUUGUAUAUUAAUUGUAAAUUGUCCGAUAGGUCUAGUAAUGCUCCAUAAUCCUAUUCCGGUGACGAACAUGGGUUAGGGGUGUUAUAAUAAGCAAUUUUUGGUGAAAGUUAUAGUGAAAGUUAUCAUAUUGAUGGUUAGGUGUGAUUGACCACAGUGUUAUAAUUAUUAUAGUACAAAGAAAAGUUAACUGAGUUGAUUAGGGUGUGAGGUGAAUAAAUUAAUUCUUCGAAAUUUUAAUAGCAAGAACGGAAGAAUAUUUAAAAAAAAUUAAUUUGUUAUUUGAUUUAACAUAUAGAGACUAAUUUAUCUAUUUUUUAGUAUAGCUAGAGAAUAAAAUGCAAUCUGACAUCUAAUACAAUGACCUCAAUAAUACUUUUACCUACAGUUGAUAAAUUUAUAACUAUAAUCGUAAAUUUUCAGUUUUGGUUCUUCUAUUAUGGUUACGUUUAAGAUUUAAUUUUUUAAAGUAAGAUUUAAUCUUUAUAAUUAAAUUUGGCAUAAUUUGAUUGUCUAUUUUUACAAUGAUAUUAGGUAGUCGAAAUAAUUAACAUAUUUUUUAACUAUUCUAAUUAAUUUUUUAAUUUUUUUAAAAAAUACUAUUCUAUAAAAAAAUUACUUUUACAUAAUGAAUCGGAAUAAAUGUUAUUAAAAAUAUUCACAUCAACUACUAAAAAUAUUAAGGGUGCUAAUUAUUUGGGUUAACUAAUGAUACGACCUUUUUUUCCCGACAUUAUAAGAUAAUGAUAAAAUUAUAGUUUUUAUCUCUCUAUUCUGCUCACAUUUGAGAUUUAAUAUUUAUAUUUUAAUUUGACAUCGUUUGAUCCUCUACUUUUAUAAUGACAUUAGUUAUCCUAAAUAAUUAAUAUUUUAACUAUAUCGAUUAAAAUGAUUACAUGAAUUUCUCUUAAAAACACAUUUCAAUACAAUAUAUAUAUUUCUACAAGAAGUUCGAAUGGGUAUUUUUAAGGAAAAAAUUGAUCUCAACAUUUUGACCACAAUAAUUAAAGGUAUCAACUAUUUCGACUAAUUAAUAGUAUUAUGUAGAGGGACCAAAUUAUAUAAAAUUAAAGAAUAGAUAUUAAAUUCUAUAUUUAAACAUAGUAGAGACCAUAACCAUAAUUUAAUCUAAAACAAAUUAUCUCUAACAUAAUAUAAAUAUAUUAACUAUAAAAAAUUUAAAAUUUAUUCGACCCCUAAAAAAUUAUUCUAACUUGCCUGCUACAAUUUUUAAACCUUACAUAAGAUUAUUUUCUUAAAUAGUGCAUAUUAUAAUAUAUAUGUACGACGUAUAUAUAUUUGGUUUUGCAAUUGUUUUUAACUUGGGCUUUUAAUUUGUCACAAAUAAAAUUUUUGACUUUAAUAAUAAUAAUAAUAAUAAUGGAUAAUUUAAAAUAAAAUAAAUUUAUAUUUUAAUUUAUUGUAUUGGAAUUAAUGAGAGAAAAUUUAUGGUCCUUCUAGCGCAAGAAUGUGUGUGACAACGUGUUGAAUGUUUAUCCACACAAAAUCCAAAAGGAUUCAAGGAUCUUCAACUUCGUCAGUGCCUCUCAUCACUUAUAAAAACACUUCGAUUUCCUUUCUUAGUUACUCCAACUCCGACGUUCGUAGAAAAAGACCAUGUGAACUACCUACGUGCCGCCGUCACCAUCAUGUCACAGCCUCAUUUCCUCCUAGUGACCAUCCCUGCACAAGGCCACAUAAACCCAACCUUACAAUUUGCCAAGCAUCUUAUACGUAUUGGCGUACGUGUAACUUUCAUCACCUGCAUCUCCGCUCGCCACCGCAUGACCAAAGUCCCCACUGCUCAAGGCCUAACGUUUCUACCCUUUUCCGAUGGCUACGAUGACGGUUUUCAACCCGGCGAUGACGUGGACCGUUACCUAUCUGAAUUGAGGCGACGAGGCAAAGAAGCCAUCUCCGAGUUUAUAACAAGCGGUGAAAACGAAGGCAAACCCGUCACUUGCAUUGUCUACACCCUGUUCAUCCAUUGGGCCACGGAGGUGGCGCGUAAACAUCACAUCCCGACAGCUUUACUUUGGAUUCAACCCGCCACCGUUUUUGACAUCUAUUAUUUUUACUUCAACGGAUACGAAUCCACCAUUAAAGCUCAAGCUGAUGAAACAAACCCCAAGCGUUCAAUAAAAUUACCAGGUCUGCCGCUACUCGCCACUAGCGACCUUCCGUCGUUCGUCACCGCUUCAAACGUUUACCGUUGGGGACCGUCGUUGAUCCAAGAACAAAUGGACGUCCUCGCCGAUGAAUACAACCCUAAAAUCCUUGUUAACACAUUCGAUGCUUUGGAACACGAAACAUUAAACGCCAUUGAAAAUUUCAACAUGGUCGGCAUCGGACCUUUAAUCCCAUCUUCUUUCUUGAACUCAAAUGACUCCUUGGAUAAUUCCUUGAGAACCGAUCUUUUUCAAUCCGAUUCAAAAGAUUACUUCCAAUGGUUAGACUCCAAACCAAAAUCGGCUGUCGUUUACGUUUCCUUCGGGAGCAUUGCGGUGUUAACGAAGCAACAAGUGGAGGAAAUCGCUCGAGCUUUAAUAUCCAGCCGGCAACCGUUUUUAUGGGUGGUGAGGAACCGGAAAGAUGGAGGCGAAGAAGAAGAUAAACUGACUUGCAGGGAAGAAUUGGAACAGUUUGGGAGGGUGGUUCCAUGGUGUUCGCAAGUGGAAGUAUUGUCUCAUCCGUCGUUGGGUUGCUUCGUGACGCAUUGUGGGUGGAACUCGACGUUGGAGAGCAUGGUGGCCGGUGUACCGGUGGUGGCUUUCCCUCAAUGGACGGAUCAAUGGACUAAUGCGAAGCUGAUUGAAGAUGUGUGGGGGAAUGGGGUGAGAGUGAGUGCUAAUGAAGAAGGGAUGGUGGAAUGUGAUGAGAUCGUUAGGUGCUUGGAUUUGGUGAUGGGGGAUGAUGAGAAAGGGAUGGAAGUGAAGAAAAAUGUAGAGAAAUGGAAAGGGUUAGCCAGGGAAGCCUCCAUGGAAGGCGGCUCCAUGGAUAUGAAGCUUAAAGCUUUUGUGGAUGAUGUUGCUGAAGCUGGUUGCAAGUAAAUUUAUCAUUUUCAAAUAAAUUCACUGUUAUAAUAGCAGCUAUAAAUAUUGUAACUUCUUUAAUUUCUAAGUUUAUUUCUUUUUCCUUUCCAUCAUCUUUUGUAAAAAAAAAAAAAGUAAGAUUGAAAAGCCGAAACAAAAACUCCUCUUUUUAAGGACCCAAGAGGAGCUGGUCUGUUUAGUCUUUGAGCCCCACCUGUCAAUCUCAAUCUCAAUCAAUGCCACUCACUCGUUUCAUGUCCUAUCCUCGUCUUCCCUUCAUUAAUAUCACUCCACCUUCUAACUUAAUAACUGAUACAUGAUCUCAAAAAAAAAAAGAAAAAAAAAAAACCCAAAGUUUGAAUUCGGUCUAUGAGCUUCCUAAACAAAAUCAGGAUAUGUGAUUAAGCAUGGAUGCUUCCGUUAUCAUAUGGAUUAAGGGUGCCAGUCGGGCUUAUUACGCCCCUCAUCCAACUUUCACCAUUCGAUAUAUGAUUAUAACCUAACCAACAACAGUCAAAUGUGUUGUUGUCGUACCUCUAUCCCUUCAAAAAUCUCUUUACUGUUGCUACCCAUGUCUUCUUUGAUAUAUAUGCAUAUUUUUAACCUUACUGAGCUGUGGACUUCAUUUGAAGUGUAACCAAGUUUUUGCUUUUUUUUCUUUCUUCUUCUUGUGUUUCCUGAAUUUAUAAAUUUUUUUCGAUUGGCUUCUAUUUAUGUUUUUUCAAAGAUUAAUAAUUGAAUUUAAUUAAAAAAUAAUUAAAUUGGUAAAAUAUAUAAAUGUUGAGGACAAACUUCAGUAUUAUCCCUUUUAAUACCUUUCAUCGUACUGGAGCAGGUAUUAUCGUACCAUGAAACUUGAAUAAGCCACCACACAAGUUUAUGCGCAUGUGGUUUUUUCUGGUUGUAUUCUGCUACUAGUCCUUAUACUUUAUGAAAGUGAUGGAUUUAGUCCCAAUACUUCAAUUUAAUCACUUUUAGUCCUGCACUUUUCAAAAUGUUCAAUUUUAGUCCCUAUAUUUUCAGUCUUUUGAAAUUUUCGUCCUAAACCAAAUAAUAGUAGUUCAAUUUGUUUGUUUAAAUUCAAUUACUAGCAUGUAAUUGUAGAUUUAAUAUAUAUUAUCCAUUUUCUUUGCAAAGUCUGUGAAAAACAAAACGGAUUGUUGAGAACAAUCCAAACACUAUCAAACACAGUUUAAAAAAAAAAAAAACAGAACAGCCUAACAUAUACUACUAAGCAGACAAAAACACUUUAACAACAGAUUUCCCCGUUGUAUUCUGCUGCAGAAAAUAGCAGACCAUCCCAGCAGCAUCAUCCAUUCUGCUUCAGCAGCAAAUCACCAAGCAGCUUUAAAGAAGUUUUUCCUUGACAUGCCUGUCUUUGCUAAAGUUUCCGCCAUUCCACUCUUUUUUUGAUUAGUGAUUGCAAACUGGAUUUCGGCAAUAUGUCUACAUCCAUCUUCAAUUUCCGCAAACAACUUCCUUAGCGACCAUGGACGAAGAUUUCUAUAUUUCAACUAAUUCAAUACCGUAUUCAAAUCAAGCUCUAUAAUCAAAGGAAGUUGCACCUUAUGAAACAAAUUUGAAAACAUCUCUAUUGCUACUUUUAUAGCCAUCAGUACUACCAUUUCCAAACCCUCCACUGCACAGUUACCUGAAAAAGAGCUGAAACAACCCCUUUCUCGUCCCGCAACACCCCUCCGCAGCCCGCUCUUUCAUCCAAAGAAACCCCAGCCACAUUAAAUUUCAUCCAACCGCAAGGAGGUGGUUCCCUAUCCAUAACCCGCACAUUCCCCACCCUAUUUAACCAGACUGCUCUUCCUUGGCCACCCCCACCAAUCACUCUCUGUGAAAAUACAUUCCUCAUAGACCACUCUUGCCCAUACAAACGAUCUCAAUUUUGUUUGAUAAAUUAAGUCAAGUGUUGUAGCCUUACCUUCAAACACUUUCUCAUUACGAGAAAUCCAUCCUGACCAACAUGCUGCUGAUACUGCCAGUAACCAUAAACUUUUUUGAAUGCCAGACAAAGACACUCUCCAGCAAAAGGAAAAGAAUUCCUCAAAGUUUGCUACGUCCUUCCAUCUCAACCCCCACCAGCAAAAUAUAAGCGACCAGAAUCUUUUCACAAAGGAGCAUUCAAAAAACAAGUGAUUGGUAGAUUCCGCCACUCUCUCGCACCAUGGACACCCACUAUCCGAAGAGUUGAUAAUAAUUCCUCUACUAAUAAAAAAUUCUUUCGUUGGAACACGAUUAAUCGCCAUCAUCUAUAGGAAGCUACGCUUUCUUGGUGGGACUUUCAAUUUCCAGAUUCUAUCAAACUGAAAUUCUACCGUUCCCAUCCCAUCAUAAGAUAGGAGAGACACAUUCACGACAUUAGUUGCACGCCCAGCUACAAACGAACCUGGCUCGGAUACCAAAAAUGUAGGGAAAAAAUAGUCACAGAAGACUAUUGUCAAACAACGUGUAUGCAAGGAAAAUACUAAACUAUAGAAAAUUUAAAAAGAAAGAAAAGCUGAACUCAAAAUGACUGAAGUUGCUGUAUUAUUCACACACAAAAUGAAAUAAACGUAGGCCUAUAAAUAGCCUUUACACCAUAACAAACUAACGUAAAAAUGUGCAACACUAUUGCACGAUCAUAACAAAAAAUAGAGAAAUAAGGAAAUUAACAAACUAAGCAUAGCACAGCAAAUCUAAAUUUAGAAAAACCGACUUUGAAUCAUUCUCCAACAUCGAAAAUGGUGGAGGGCUGAAUCCAGAGUAAAGUUGACGGGAUGUGAUGUUUACGCGCCACCUCCGUAGCCCAAUGAAGGAGCAAAUAGUAGACAAUGCAAGUGAUGGGUUUACCUUCGUUUUCACUACUUGUUAUAAACUCAGAGAUGGCAUCUCUGCCUCGUCUCUUGAAUUCAGACAUGUAAUUGUCUGUGUCAUUGCCGGGUUUAAUUUCGUCGUCGUAGCUAUCCGAAAAAGGUAAAAACGAUAGGCCUUCAGCAGUGGGGGACUUUGGUCAUGCGACUGAUGACGGAGAUGCUGGUGAUGAAAGUUACACGUGCGUUGAUAGGUACAAGAUGCUUGGCGAAUUGUAAAGUCGGGUUUACGUGGCCUUGUGCAGGAUAGGUCACUACGAUGAAAUGAGGCUGUGACAUGAUGGUGACGGCGGCGAGUGUUGGCGCGUAAUUCGUGAAGGAAAUUAAUGGGUUUUUAUAGUGAAGAGAGGCAUUGAUAAAAGGUGAUGUUUGAGCUGACGAAUUUCAAAGAUUCCUAAACCUUGUUGGACUUAUCUGGUGUUUUUUCAAUGCUUAGGUUGCAGCUUGAUGCAUGAUGCUGUUAGAGAGAGUUUCAUACUACACGACUCUUUGGGGUUUGAAUUUAAUUCACCAAUUACAAUUUUAGUUAAACUAAACCCCAACACUAAACACGUAAGUUCAUAUUUGGUUAAACUACCUACCAAGUUAUCCAUCUAUGCCUAAACAUUUUUUUACUCACUCAAUUUUUUAAACUUUCAAAAUGGUCAUUCAAUUCAUUGGGUUCCAUUUUUUUAUCCAUUUCCAUUAAGCAUCGUUAAAUGCCUGGUAGGGUUAAUUUUUAAAAAUUAUGACUAAAUUGAUACAAUAUGUAAAAUUUGAGGAAAAAAUUUGUUAUUAUACUAAUAUUUAAAUAGUCACUUCAACUUUUUGUCAAACACUUAAUGGAAAUGGACCAAAAAAUAAAUCUGAUUAAUUAUGUGACCAUUUUGAAAGUUUUAAAAGUUGAGUGAAAAAAAAAACUUAAACAUAUUUAAUAGUAUUAAUGUGUCGAACAAUUAAAGUAUCCACUUGUCACAAUAUUAAACCCCACGUAUGAUUGUUUUCUUGAAUAUUGUGUAUAUUAUAUAUGAUAAAAGAUUGUAUAAAAUUAUCAUUCUACGUCAUCCCUAAGAAAAUGAUAAAUUAAAUUUUGUCUCUUACAAAAUUCAAAUUCAACUAAAAAACUAAUAUAGAAUCACAGUUUCAUAUAAACUUUUCUUUUAUAAUAUAUAGGUAUAAUAUAUAUAUUCCAUUUAGCAAUUGUUUUUAACUCUGGUCUUUUAAUUUGUCACAAACAAAAAUUUUGACUUCGAUAUUAAUACUAAAAUAAUAUUUGUCCUUGUAGCGGAAGAAUGUGUGUGACAACGUGAUAAAUAUUUUUCCAAACAAAAUCCAAAAGGAAUUAGGCAUCUUCAAAUUCGUCAGCCCAAACGUCACUGUUUUUCAGUGCCUCUCAUCACUUAUAAAAACACUUUGAUUUCCUUUCUUACUUACUCCAAAUCCGACGUUCGUACAAAAAGACCAGUAGAACUACCUACGUGCCGCCGUCACCACCAUGUCACAGCCUCAUUUCCUCCUAGUGACCUUCCCUGCACAAGGCCACAUAAACCCAACCUUACAAUUUGCCAAGCAUCUUAUACGUAUUGGCGUACGUGUAACUUUCAUCACCUGCAUCUCCGCUCGCCGCCGCAUGACCAAAGUCCCCACUGCUCAAGGCCUAACGUUUUUACCCUUUUCCGAUGGCUACGACGACGGUUUUCAACCCGGCGAUGACAUAGAACAUUACCUAUCUGAAUUGAGGAGACGAGGCAAAGAAGCCAUCUCCGAGUUUAUAACAAGCAGUGAAUACGAAGGCAAACCCGUCACUUGCAUUGUCUACACCCUGUUCAUCCAUUGGGCCUCGGAGGUGGCGCGUAAACAUCACAUCCCGACAGCUUUACUUUGGAUUCAACCCGCCACCGUUUUCGACAUCUAUUAUUUUUACUUCAACGGGUACGAAUCCACCAUUAAAGCUCCAGUUGAUGAAACAAACCCAAAGCGUUCAAUAAAAUUACCAGGUCUGCCGCUACUCGCCACCCGCGACCUUCCGUCGUUCGUCACCGCUUCAAACGUUUACCGUUGGGCACUGUCGUUGUUCCAAGAACAAAUGGAUAUCCUCGCUGAUGAAUCCAACCCCAAAAUCCUUGUUAACACCUUCGAUGCUUUGGAACAAGAAGCAUUAAAUGCCAUUGAAAAUUUCAACAUGGUCGGCAUCGGACCUUUAAUCCCAUCUUCUUUCUUGAACUCAAAUGACUCCUUGGAUAAUUCCUUGAGAACCGAUCUUUUUCAAUCCGAUUCAAAAGAUUACAUCCAAUGGUUAGACUCCAAACCAAAAUCGGCCGUCGUUUACGUUUCCUUCGGGAGCAUUGCGGUGUUAACCAAGCAACAAGUGGAGGAAAUCGCUCGAGCUUUAAUAGCCAGCCGGCGAC
rnacentral:lncRNA from 1 species